UACGUAGGGUGCAAGCGUUGUCCGGAAUUAUUGGGCGUAAAGAGGUCGUAGGCGGUCUGUCGCGUCUGCUGUGAAAACUCAGGGCUUAACCCUGAGCUUGCAGUGGGUACGGGCAGACUAGAGUGCGGUAGGGGAGACUGGAAUUCCUGGUGUAGCGGUGAAAUGCGCAGAUAUCAGGAGGAACACCGGUGGCGAAGGCGGGUCUCUGGGCCGUAACUGACGCUGAGGAGCGAAAGCGUGGGGAGCGAACAGG
rnacentral:rRNA from 1 species